rnacentral:misc_RNA from 1 species
GAUGAAGAACGUAGCGAAAUGCGAUACUUGGUGUGAAUUGCAGAAUCCCGUGAACCAUCGAGUCUUUGAACGCAAGUUGCGCCCGAAGCCAUUAGGCCGAGGGCACGCCUGCCUGGGCGUCACACGUCGUUGCCCCCCCAUCUACUCCUUCGGGAUUGCGGGGGGCGGAUGAUGGCCUCCCGUGCGCCUCGCCGCGCGGUUGGCAUAAAUGCCAAGUCCUCGGCGACGCACGCCACGACAAUCGGUGGUUGCGAAACCUCGGUUGCCCGUCGUGUGCGGUCGUCGCGCAUCGAGGGCUCGAAAAAAUUGCCGGGUUCCGGCUCGGCUUUCAACGCGACCCCAGGUCAGGCGGGGUUACCGCUGAAUUUAAGCAUAUCAAUAAGCGGAGGA